UUCCUUAAUGAAGUCACACCCCUUGCUCACCUCUCUGCCCUCUCCCAAACUCUAUCUAAAGGAAAGUUUCAUGGAGCCAGUUUAGCAUAAAAAACAGCAAGGAGAAAGAAAAGCUACUCCAGGAAGUGUGCGUUACCUAAGCUAGACCCCUUAGCAUGAGAAGAGAAUGCAAUUCCUUUCCCUCCUGCUCGCCUUUGCUCCCUAAGGACAGUCUCCUCACUGUCCCCUUCAGAGGAGUACAGUGUUAUUCAGUAAACGCGCGGACUGCAAGGCUGUCCUGUUGUCUUGACUUAACUGAGUGUGUGUUUAAUGUGUUCCCGACUUCUAAGGUCAGGAAGUACUUCAGAGUACAGCAUCAUUACACAGAAAAUGACCUGUUUUUACUGGGCGUAACAUUCAAACAAGAUGCCUCUACGACAUUUCCUAGCCAACAGGAAACAGAAACUGACAGAAACAUUGCCAGUAUGUUCACUGCUUUAAGUCAUGUGCUUCUUUACACAGUGGAGCGGGUCUGAUACUCUGUACUCUGCCAGGCAGUGCUCCCGGCUCCUGCUUUCUUUGAGGACGUGGGAACGGUCUCCCGUUGGUUGACUCAUUAGAAAAGCCGUGUUAAACUGGCAGUGCCCAGACGCUCCUCCAGAUACUAGAAUUCCUUCAGUCUGUGCUGAGCUAAUGUAUGGUACCCUAUUUUUAUUCAAAGUGUUUUCAAAAGAUUCUUUUUAAUUUAUAGGAUACUCAUGCUCAUGUGUUUCUUUAUUCAGAGAACAAGUUGAUUUUGGACACAUGAAAAUAAUUAUAAAACUAAAAAGAAAAAGGAAAGUUAAAGAAAUCAA
rnacentral:lncRNA from 1 species